GGCCACUUAGCUCAGCUGGUAGAGCACUCGAUUUACAUUCGAGUGGUCAUAGGUUCGAUCCCUAUAGUGGCCA
rfam:Microgenomates bacterium GW2011_GWC2_46_7 TX64_C0025, whole genome shotgun sequence.